rnacentral:misc_RNA from 1 species
GAAAUGCGAUAAGUAGUGUGAAUUGCAGAAUUCAGUGAAUCAUCGAAUCUUUGAACGCACAUUGCGCCCCCUGGUAUUCCAUGGGGCAUGCCUGUUCGAGCGUCAUUUGUACCUUCAAGCUUUGCUUGGUGUUGGGUGUUUGUCUCGCCUCUGCGUGUAGACUCGCCUCAAAACAAUUGGCAGCCGGCGUAUUGAUUUCGGAGCGCAGUACAUCUCGCGCUUUGCACUCAUAACGACGACGUCCAAAAGUACAUUUUUACACUCUUGACCUCGGAUCAGGUAGGGAUACCCGCUGAACUUAAGC